AACGAACGCUGGCGGCAUGCCUAACACAUGCAAGUCGAACGAGACCUUUGGGUCUAGUGGCGCACGGGUGCGUAACGCGUGGGAAUCUGCCCUUGGGUUCGGAAUAACAGUGAGAAAUUGCUGCUAAUACCGGAUGAUGUCUUCGGACCAAAGAUUUAUCGCCCAGGGAUGAGCCCGCGUAGGAUUAGCUAGUUGGUGGGGUAAUGGCCUACCAAGGCGACGAUCCUUAGCUGGUCUGAGAGGAUGAUCAGCCACACUGGGACUGAGACACGGCCCAGACUCCUACGGGAGGCAGCAGUGGGGAAUAUUGGACAAUGGGCGCAAGCCUGAUCCAGCAAUGCCGCGUGAGUGAUGAAGGCCUUAGGGUUGUAAAGCUCUUUUACCAGGGAUGAUAAGACAGUACCUGGAGAAUAAGCUCCGGCUAACUCCGUG
rnacentral:rRNA from 1 species